ACAUGAGGGCAAUCUGGCUGUGACAUCUGUCACCCCACUGACUGCCAGGGUUGAUUCGGCCGAUCUGGCUGGCUAGGCGGGUGUCCCCUUCCUCCCUCACCACUCCAUGUGUGUCCCUCCCAAAGCUGUGUGCUUGGUCGAAGAGGAUGGCCUUCCCGAAUAGAGACGGACUGGUCUUCUGGUGAGGGUAUACGAGUAGCUGCGCUCCCCUUCUAGAACCUCCAAACAAGUUCUCAAGGAAGGAAUCUUCAGUGCUGUUGUAGUUAGUCUUGUCCUCU
rfam:Erinaceus europaeus unplaced genomic scaffold scaffold00006, whole genome shotgun sequence